rnacentral:rRNA from 1 species
ACGCCGCGUGAGUGAUGAAGGUUUUCGGAUCGUAAAGCUCUGUUGCCAGGGAAGAACGCUUGGGAGAGUAACUGCUCUCAAGGUGACGGUACCUGAGAAGAAAGCCCCGGCUAACUACGUGCCAGCAGCCGCGGUAAUACGUAGGGGGCAAGCGUUGUCCGGAAUUAUUGGGCGUAAAGCGCGCGCAGGCGGCUCUUUAAGUCUGGUGUUUAAUCCCGAGGCUCAACUUCGGGUCGCACUGGAAACUGGAGAGCUUGAGUGCAGAAGAGGAGAGUGGAAUUCCACGUGUAGCGGUGAAAUGCGUAGAGAUGUGGAGGAACACCAGUGGCUAAGGCGACUCU